GACGAACGCUGGCGGCGUGCUUAACACAUGCAAGUCGAACGGUGAAAGAAGAGCUUGCUCUUCUGGAUCAGUGGCGAACGGGUGAGUAACACGUGAGUAACCUGCCCCAGACUCUGGAAUAAGCGCUGGAAACGGCGUCUAAUACCGGAAACGAGACAGAGCUGCAUGCCUACUGUCUGGAAGGUUUUUCGGUCUGGGAUGGACUCGCGGCCUAUCAGCUUGUUGGUGAGGUAACGGCUCACCAAGGCAACGACGGGUAGCCGGCCUGAGAGGGCGACCGGCCACACUGGGACUGAGACACGGCCCAGACUCCUACGGGAGGCAGCAGUGGGGAAUAUUGCACAAUGGGCGAAAGCCUGAUGCAGCGACGCCGCGUGAGGGAUGACGGCCUUCGGGUUGUAAACCUCUUUCAGCAGGGAAGAAGCGAAAGUGACGGUACCUGCAGAAGAAGCACCGGCUAACUACGUG
rnacentral:rRNA from 1 species